GAUGAACGCUGGCGGCGUGCCUAAUACAUGCAAGUCGAGCGAACGGACGAGAAGCUUGCUUCUCUGAUGUUAGCGGCGGACGGGUGAGUAACACGUGGAUAACCUACCUAUAAGACUGGGAUAACUUCGGGAAACCGUAGCUAAUACCGGAUAAUAUUUUGAACCGCAUGGUUCAAAAGUGAAAGACGGUCUUGCUGUCACUUAUAGAUGGAUCCGCGCUGCAUUAGCUAGUUGGUAAGGUAACGGCUUACCAAGGCAACGAUGCAUAGCCGACCUGAGAGGGUGAUCGGCCACACUGGAACUGAGACACGGUCCAGACUCCUACGGGAGGCAGCAGUAGGGAAUCUUCCGCAAUGGGCGAAAGCCUGACGGAGCAAUGCCGCGUGAGUGAUGAAGGUCUUCGGAUCGUAAAACUCUGUUAUUAGGGAAGAACAGAUGUGUAAGUAACUGUGCACAUCUUGACGGUACCUAAUCAGAAAGCCACGGCUAACUACGUG
rnacentral:rRNA from 1 species